GAAAAUGAACUUGGGGAUGGAGAGGAGGAGGAGGGUCCCCUAGAGGGACAGUGGCCAGUCUACCAUGGCCUGAGAAGCAUGAAGCCCAGGGCUUCAAGAAUAACGAAACUUAGACCCUUGACUACCUGCAGAGCUUCCAUGUGAUGGAAAGGAGACACCAUCAAGGUUGGCACAUGGGAUCUGAUUCACUGAUUUUCCUCAUCAGUUGUUUCUCAUUCUUUUCACCUCUGAGCUGUUUCUCAGUUGGUGAGCAUCAACCCAGACUUAGCAGCCAAAGGGAGAGACAGUGCCAUUGAAAAAGUCUGCCAGCCUGGAGGGCAUUCUGGAAAAGCCUUCAAUGGAAAAGGCAUCCGAGUUGGAUACCUGGAGUUCCUGGAUCUGUUGUGGUUCCGACAUCCCUGGCUAAGCCCAAGUUUACGAGGGAGGCAGGUCUCCUGAAUUGCAUGUUAUUUUUAAGAAGUAAUUUUCAUGCAAUUCUGUGCAAAUAAAAUGCCAAUAUAGAAAUUUUAAAAUUUAGACCUAUUGGUUCUGACACUCCUGCCAAGAAUAGUGACAUCGAUGCAAAAAUUCAGAGAGGUUAAGCAAUUUGCCUAAGACCACUCUCCUGGAGAAGAUUUCCAACUGAGCAGAAAAGUUACCCCAGGCCAGUUCUAUUCACAUUGUCUCAGGCAUCAAAUCAUGCGUGCCAAACUUUGAUUUGGAGACUAAGAUCACCGCAGAAGCAUAUGGCCCCGUCUCUGGGAAUUUUUUAAGUGGCUAUUUCCUACAUGCAAUCCAACUAUGCAGGAGCAGAGAGGAGGGUCAGAGAGGGGAGGAUGAAGCAUGGACGAUGCAGAAGUUAGAGAAACAGGAAAGGGUUUUGUGCUCUUGAGAACAGCUCCUCUUCAAACUCAUUUUUUUUUAUGAAGCCUCUUUGUGGUUUCUUCGAAGGCCCUCU